CGAAGCAUUUACCUUUUCUCUCUAUGUGAACCCUCUGAAAUUCAAAAGUCUCAGUGAUUGCUUUCUUCCUUGGCAAUCAGGUAUUUGCAGACAUUCCGUGGGAGUCAGUUCGCUUCACAACAGGACAUCACUGGAAACAUUGGUUAUUUUACUGAGGCUUUGACUGGAGUGUCAUGUUUGAGAGACCUGCGUGGACUCAGAUGUGACCAGACAGCUCUAAGGGAUUAAAGUUGACUUUAGGAAACAUGGAGUCAGUGGUGCCCUUGGAGAUGUUGGCCCGAUACUUCCUCACAGAGUUCCCAGCAGCCUCCUCAGGAGCCGGCCCCCUCAAGGUCCUGGACACCUUGCUUUCAGAAUUCCUUGGAGACUUCCGCUUCUCCUGACUCCCUCCCUACCCGAAGUGUGUCGUCCGUCACCCAUCGCAACCCCAGUGCAGCCCUUCCUACCCCAGGGGCCUGUCCCUGUGCUUUAAUAAAAACAAAGUUCGCGCCAAA